ensembl:lncRNA
GAGUGGUAUUUGUAUGGUAUAUUUCCACUUUUAAGCUUGGGCAGGGGAAGAAUAUUCAGAAACGACUGUGUUUGAUGGAAUAAAUGAAUUUAUUUCUUCUUCAUAACUCCUGUAUGGUGGUUAACGUGACCCCAGAUGCAUGUUCUAGGACUUUUAUUUUGAAACAAUGCCAGGUGAUUUGUGUUGUUGUACUGUCUUUUAUUUUGUAGUUUCUUGUUCUGUUUCAUGUUGAAUCUGGAUUGUCUCCACCUGUGUCUGAACAGGCCUACUUUCCUACUAUGAAGCCUGUGAAAACAGUACACAUCAAAUGAGCAUUUGUGAUUAUGCAGUAUUAAUGAAAGUUUGUGGAGAAAAAGCACCAGAGUUGUUUACUGUGCUUGAAUUGUUUUCGUGGUUGUUGUUAGUAUGUCAUAAAUCAAAGAACAUCCACGUUAAAGGAUAUUUGUUUUCAUGCAUACCCACAGACUAUACUUCAUCAGCGGUCCAGAGAUUUGAGCUUCUGGUGAUUUCUGGUCCUGGCAUGGCACCCUGAUCACAUGACCGUAAAGCUGUCAGUAUCAGCAGCCGCCUCUGGACUUACAGAGUGCUAAUCCCCGUUAAAAGCCACACUUCCACAGCCUUCCACUCUUCUGCACUAAACAUGCUUGUUUACUGGUCGAUUUCAUAUGAAUGAGGUCAGCCUCACAUGCACAGGCCAUCCAGCACCCUUUAUUUCCCUGGAGUUGUGUCUACCUGCCUCUAAUUAUUGCUAUAAAGGGUAUUAGGCUCUCACAGUGGCCUUCAGUGCAUUUACUGGCCUCACAAAUGAUGUGAAACUUUGCAUUACUCAGUAAGAAUAUUGUCUGAGGUUGUUAAAAUAGUAAAUGUGUUUACACAGGUUACAGGCUUCUGGUGUUGGUGAGGUCAAAGUGUCACGCAGGCCUGCACUUUACAUACUGUCAUUGUUUAAGUUAGAUCUAGACCAGAUAUUUAAGUGAUUGUUUGUAUGAGUAAACAUAGAUGUAAUCAAUGAACUUGUCGAUCAAGUGGUAAGUACAAAAUGUAAAUGUUUCCAGUAAACAGUAACUCCCUUUAUCACACUGUAGGGUUGAAAAUGCUCAAAGACGACUUCUUUCCUGUCCCUUCAGUAGCAAAAGGCCUGAACCACUGUUGGGCAACUACCAUGCCUUACAACAUCUAAGUACUUUAUUUUGUAAGAGGUGAUUUCAGAUUGGAGCCAAUUGGAGUUGAAUUUGAAUUGAAUUUACAAAAAUCACCCAUUUAUUUUACAGGGUGAAUUGAGUUGCAAUGCAGAUUUAAAUAGAAUGCUAUAAAUAUAGCAUAUACAGUAUAGUGCAUGGACUUUAUUUUAAUCAGGAGCACGCAUUAUUAGAUGGCACUUUUAUAUCUUUUUUUAUUGAAAAAUUAGAGCAAUAUAAGAGCAACGGUAAAAAAACAAAACAAAAACAAAAAAAAAAACAUUAGAAAACCAUGCCUAUACCUACAGUUUUUGCAAAACUUCAAAAACAUAUCUGUACACAGUUCACUGUAGUUUCCAGCUGAAAUGAGCACUAGUGGCAGUAAAACGGCAACAACUUUUUGUUCUUUUUCACACAAAUGAUAAAUAAAUGAGCAGAUUUUUGUUUAAUAAAAAAAUAUUUUCAUGUGGUUCUUUACACAAUGCCAUAUUAUGGUCUCAAACACUUUUACCAUACUGCAUGAUUUGUAAACCAGUACAUACUGUAUUGACGUCUGCAUCACAUAACCACGUCCAUAUGUGCAGCUUUUCUGAUGUAG